GUGAGUCAUCGAAUCUUUGAACGCACAUUGCGCCCUUUGGUAUUCCUUAGGGCAUGCCUGUUCGAGCGUCAUUGAAACCCUCAAGCUAUGCUUGGUGUUGGGCGCCUUGUCCCCGCCUCUGCGCGCGGACUCGCCUGGAAAACAUUGGCGGUUGUUGGUAUCGACCGGAAGCGCAGCAGAGACGCGCCCUUCUCGGUGUGAGCACCCCUCCCCCCACGAAGCCGACCUUUUAUCAUCUUGACCUCGGAUCAGGUAGGGAUACCCGCUGAACUUAAGCAUAUCAAUAAGCGGAGGA
rnacentral:misc_RNA from 1 species